rnacentral:lncRNA from 1 species
CCCUCCUGUAACAAAUAUCCCACAGUCUGGGCCUCAGAGUUGAGGCCUUAUUUAUGCAACUCCAACAAAAUUGGGAAACAGUUCAGUCAGGAAAAUGCUAAGGCCCAAAUGCAGCAAAAAGUCCCAUGUGAGUCAAUUCCUGGAUCCAACAUGAGAAAAUUGUCAGGGGAGGAGAUAACAGAGAUCAGUUAGAGCUCUAGCCCCCCGCACACAUCCUCACCUUUUCCACACAAGAACUCACACACAGCCUGUUGACUCCCAGAUGUAGUGUCAAAAGCCCAAAGAGAGGGCUGCAAAUAGAACAAAUGAAGACUUUCUGCCAUGGCUACUGAAAUCAACCCAAGGACCCUAGCAGAGCCACACCUGGAGGUGCAGCUGGCAUGGAGCUGCUGCAGGGCCACAUGGACAGGAGGAAGAGGAAGAGUCUGUUGCUUGAUAUGCCUGCAGCUUAGGCCCACAAACUGUUCCAUGUUACCACUAGAUCAACGAUGGAUGACUGCAGUUUAAGUGGAAAAACAACUUUACAUAUGUUUCCAACUACAGUCUGCCAGCCUCAUAUUUUAAUGGAUGUUUCUCACACUGUCCAUCACAUACAAAAUGAUGUGGGAGCUCAAAGUGGAGAGAAUAGAAUGAUCAAAAUCCCACUUGUUUCAGAGCUUGCAGAAAAGAAGAUAGAAAAGAGAAGGAGUGGGUGAAAAAAGAAAGAAAGAAAGAAAGAAAUGCUAGCAGGUUAGCCUUCCCAUUUAUAUUAUCAUAAAGAAAGCAACAGAAAGAGAAAGAGGACAUACAAUGGCUAAUAGUAAUGGCAUAGUGUCCAAAUAUUUGCAAUGUUUUUCUCCAAGUACUUGCCAAACUCUGGUUUCCCAUUACAGAAUAAUGCCAGGGCAUCACCCAGUGAUUCAGUCAUGGGCCUCUCCAUCUCUUGUCACUGAUGAAAUACUAAUGUAGCAUCUCUGCAAAUUCCACAGUCCAAAUUUUCACAUCCAGGAGAGGCUGAAGUGGUUUAUCUUGAGAUUAUAAAAAUUUGAUUUAAAAAGUAUAUUUCAGCCUCAUCUGUUCUUUUCAUGUAGAGCAUCUGAAAAAGGAUAGGGG